ensembl:lncRNA
GGAUCCAGGAGGAUUUUGGGAGGGGAUCCAGGAGGAUUUUGGGAGGGAUCCAGGAGGAUUUGGGAGGGAAUCCAUGGGGAAUUACCCGCGAGGUCAUGAAGAGCAGCUUGGUCUCCAUGUCGGGGGUGAGGCGGCACGCCAGGAAUUUGCGGGAGGUUCUGGACUGCAGGAGCUGCAGGACCCCUGGACAGGGACAGGGAAGCGGAAUUUGGUUGGAAAAGGCGUCCAGAGAAAGCUUUUUAGGGAUCACUGAGGAGGGGUUUGAGGGGGAUUUGAGGGGUGGGAACACUCCAAAGCCCCAUUUCCCUGGAAUUGCUGCAUCCAGGGAAGCGCCCAGGGAAAGGAACGAUUUAUGGGAAUAUCAUUGAUGGAAAUAAAAUGAAAAAAAAAAAACCAACAACAAAUAAAAUCCAUGGCUCUUCCCACGGAAUGGGGAAACCAGCAGGAAUUAAAUCUCAUGGAGGUGCCACUGCUGGAAUUCCUGAUUUUUAUGGAUCUUCUCCAGGCUCUGCUCAGCCUGGGCUCACCUUCCCCGCCACUUAAUUAAGGGAAAUAACUCUGAUUAACCUGGAAUUCCAGACUGGUUUGGGCUGGGAUCACCCAAAGAUCACCCAGACCACGGGCAGGGACAAUUCCCACCGGAUCCACAAGCCCAGGGAGGAGGAGGAGGAGGAGACGAGGGCAGCACGGGGAUCCCGGGGGUUUCCUGGGGGGAUCCUGGGGGGGAUCCCGGGGGUUUCCUGGGGGGAUCCCGGCUGGGAAUUCCCGGGAAGGGAAGAUCCCGUACCUGUGAACUGGGAGCUGAGCACCUGCGGGUUGUGCAGGAUGUCCUUCCAGAGCUGCUCGAACUCCGGGAUCCGCGCCACGUUCUGCAGCAGCCGCACCAGGUCCCGGCCGAUCAUGAAGCAAUCCAUGAACUGGGAAUGGGGGAAAAAGAGGGAAAAAUCCCGCUCGGUGCCCGGGGCAGGGGGAUGGGAGCAGGGAAAGGAGGAAUUCCCGCUCCUCCCACCCCCUCCCUGCUGGAAUGGAUGGAGGGAAGGUCGGGAGUUGUUCUGGAAUGUUCUCCCUGGCAAAGCAAACAAUCGGGCCAUAAAUCUGCCACCCUCCCCAGGCCUGCAGCCAGGCCCCGCCGGGGCAGCGUCGGCAACGGCAGGAUCUGGGAGAAAUCCGGGACAAAUCCCAGCUCUGGGGGGUUCUCCUGCUCCAGCCGGAGCCAAACCAGGCCUGGAGCUGCUGCUGUGGGAUCAUCCCAAACCGCCCUGCCCAGGGAGGGAUCCCCAGGGGAACGGGAUCCCAUCCCGAUUCCAUCCCAAUCCCAAUCCUGGAGCAGGGAGAUGCAGGAUCCCAUCCCAAUCCCAUCCCAAUCCCAUCCCAAUCCCAAUCCCAAUCCCAUUCCCAUUCCCAAUCCCAAUCCCAAUCCCAAUCCUGGAGCAGGGAGAUACAGGAUCCCAUUCCCAGCCCCAAUCCCAUUCCAAAUCCCAUCCCAUCCCAAUCCCAUUCUCAUUCCCAGGAACUCACCCUCCCCUGGAGCAGGGAGAUGCAGAACUCCAGAUCCCAAUCCCAAUCCCAUCCCAAUCCCAUUCCCAAUCCCAUUCCCACUCCCAUCCCCAUUCCCGUUCCCAUUCCCGUUCCCGUUCCCAUCCCCGUUCCCGUUCCCGUCGCUCACGUGGGCGUUGAGGGCGUCGUUGGCCUCGCGCUCCGAGAGCCCGCUGGUCAGCGAGGUGACGAUCCCCACACAGCGCUCCAGCCUCUGGAAAACCGGGAGAGACCGGGGGAACUGCGGAAACUGGGGAAGCUGGGAACAGCUGGGAACAGCUGGGAACAGCUGGGAACAGCUGGGAACAGCUGGGAACAGCUGGGAACAGCUGGGAACAGCUGGGAGCAGCGCGCCAUUCCGGAUUCUCCCCAGCAAGGGCCGCUCCCGGGAGCAUUCCCAGAUCCCGGGAGGAUCCUGGUGCUAUCCCGGUGCUAUCCUGGUGUGCUAUCCCGGUGUUCUAUCCCAGUAUUUUAUCCCGGUGCUAUCCCGGUGUUAUCCCGGUGUUUUAUCCCGGUGCUAUCCUGGUGUUCUAUCCCGGUGUUUUCCCGGUGUUUUAUCCUGGUGUUAUCCCAGUGUUCUAUCCUGGUGUUAUCCCGGUGCUAUCCCGGUGUUAUCCCGGUGUUCUAUCCCGGUAUUAUCCCAGUGUUUUAUCCCGGUGUUUUCCCGGUGUUUUCCCGGUGUUAUCCCGGUUUUAUCCCGGUGUUUUCCCGUGCCGCUCUCACCUCCUCCAGCUCAUCCUUGGAGUCGAGCAGGGAGCAGAGCAGGAGUUUCCCGGCCGUUCCCGCUUUGCCCUUGGGGAGCUCCAUGGCCCGCCCGGUGCUCCCGGUGCUCCCGGUG